GACAGAGGGUGCAAACGUUGUUCGGAUUCACUGGGUUUAAAGGGUGCGUAGGUGGGAUUGUAAGUCAGUGGUGAAAUCUCCGUGCUUAACACGGAAACUGCCAUUGAUACUAUGUUUCUUGAAUUUUCUGGAGGUUAGCGGAAUAUGUCAUGUAGCGGUGAAAUGCUUAGAUAUGACAUAGAACACCAAUGGCGAAGGCAGCUAACUACAGGGAUAUUGACACUGAGGCUCGAAAGCGUGGGGAGCAAACAGG
rnacentral:rRNA from 1 species